rnacentral:tRNA from 1 species
ACCUGUGUGGCUCAGCUGGUUAAGUGUCUGACUUUAGCUCAGGUCGUGAUCUCAUAGUUUGUGGGUUCGAGCCCCACAUCGGGCU